GAUGAACGCUAGCUACAGGCUUAACACAUGCAAGUCGAGGGGAAACGGCAUUGAGUGCUUGCACUCUUUGGACGUCGACCGGCGCACGGGUGAGUAACGCGUAUCCAACCUUCCCAUUACUGUGGGAUAACCUGCCGAAAGGCAGACUAAUACCGCAUAGUCUUCGAUGACGGCAUCAGAUUUGAAGUAAAGAUUUAUCGGUAAUGGAUGGGGAUGCGUCUGAUUAGCUUGUUGGCGGGGUAACGGCCCACCAAGGCUACGAUCAGUAGGGGUUCUGAGAGUAAGGUCCCCCAGAUUGGAACUGAGACACGGUCCAAACUCCUACGGGAGGCAGCAGUGAGGAAUAUUGGGCAAUGGAGGGAAGUCUGAACCAGCCAAGUAGCGUGCAGGAGGACGGCCCUAUGGGUUGUAAACUGCUUUUGUAUGGGGAUAAAGUUAGGGACGUGUCCCUAUUUGCAGGUACCAUACGAAUAAGGACCGGCUAAUUCCGUG
rnacentral:rRNA from 1 species